GCAUACGACGGGUUACUCCCGUGUUAUCGCUGUUGAAAUUAUGACGCCAUUUUGAAGUAUAUAAGGAUUUUCUCUGGAGAUGGGAAACAGUGCAAAACGAUCAAGGAUACUUUAAAGACUUGUUCAAUUGUUUUUUUUUUUGUGUUUUGAAAUCCAAACAAAGUCACAAUAUGCCUAACAAGCCAGUAGGCGGCAACGCCAUGUCACCCAAGCACGGAGCUAUGAUAGCACCUGGAGGCUGCUGCACCCCCUUUUUACCCCCAUUCCCCCCACAAAUCCUAGUCCCGAAGCCAUGGGAAAAACCGGGCAUUUUCGGACCUAUCACUGGUUGCAUGUCAGGAAAGAAGUAGACAAGGCCUGUAUAAUGUACGCAUAUUUGUAAUAAAGAUAUGUGGUUCUGACAA